rnacentral:rRNA from 1 species
UACGUAGGUGGCAAGCGUUAUCCGGAUUUAUUGGGCGUAAAGAGAACGCGGGCGGUCUUUUAAGUCUGAUGUGAAAGCCUUCGGCUUAACCGGAGUAGUGCAUUGGAAACUGGGAGACUUGAGUGCAGAAGAGGAGAGUGGAACUCCAUGUGUAGCGGUGAGAUGCGUAGAUAUAUGGAAGAACACCAGUGGCGAAAGCGGCUCUCUGGUCUGUAACUGACGCUGAGGUUCGAAAGCGUGGGUAGCAAACAGG